UUCUUUCGUUAUUUGAAAUUUGAAUUUUGUGGAAUGGGAAUUGAAAUAUCAAGUUUUACGAUGAAGAAUUCAUUUGUUUUUAUUAGAUAAUUUAUACCUAAUUUUAUUUCCUAGACGUCAAAACGACUAAAAUAACCCUGGUUUAUACUGUUAUUAAUAAUAAAAUUGGUGGGAAUAUAAAAGAAAGUCAACAUUUUAAGAAGAGAAUGAUCGGGGAGCAAGUAGUAUUGUCUUAAUGAUUUGGCACUCAACAGUGCAAAAGAGAUUGCUUACUGUAAUAAGGGAAAGUUAAGUAUGUCAAAAAGCAAAGUAAACAAAGGAAUGGCAUCUAUAGCAACAAACCAUUUCUUUAACAAACAACAAAACAUGUUACAUAAGCUAUAGACUUAAAAUUAAAAUAUUUUAGAAUAGCCGUUCUGUAGACUUAAAAGUAAUUGACCCAGAAAACCAAAAUAAUACAAUAAAGAACAAUUUUAUGAGAGAUAUCAUUAAUCAGAACCAAUUAUUGAUAGAAAAUGUAUAUCAAAGUUACUAAUAAAAUUAGAAAAUUAGUAAAAUGGUUUUGAAUUGAAUUUGAUUGUAUUUACAGCAUUCAGGAAAGUGAAGUAUUGCAUUAACAAUAUAUGAAUUUCAAUUGUAUCUCUAAUUAGAAGUAAUCUCCAAUUUAAUGAUCAUACAACAUAAAAUGUCUUUGUAUUCCAAAAUAGAUAUCAAGUGUGCAGCUAUUCCCAGUCUCUGGAGAAUGUAAAUAAAACACACGAGAGUCCGUGUCGUUCCAUCGUGAUUGGUCGAGAGACUGUCACGUGACUCGCGGCUCUCUCUCGGCCAAUCACAAUCGUUAAAACCAAACGACGCGCACAUUCGCUUCCUAUUAUGCGACAUUCUACUGCAAAUGAUUUUUCUAUGUUUGCUUAAUAAUUCUAAAUGUAGUAUUAUAAUAUUUUGUUGAACGUAAGACAAUAGUAGUACUUAACUAGUUAGUGGGAUAUUGUAUCACAUUUCUUUUUAUGAAUUUGUUAAAAAUAAUAAAUCAUUUUUUAAAAUUAAGUAUAUCUUAGUUUUUUCUACUUUUAAUCGUAAGAAGUGGUAUUAGUUUCAUGUCACUGUGGGAAUCUUUAUUAUUCUUAUAUUUAUACAUUUGAUAAACCAUUUUUUGUGUGGUUUGCAUAUAUGUGAACACUACGAGUCGAUUUUGUAUGUUUACUUCGAUAAAAUCUAAGGAAACUCGAUUAAAAAUGUGAAUAAAGCUAAGAAAUGUGGUUCACAUAAAAAACAAUACUACGUCUCAAAUUUGUAUAUUUUGAUAAAGUGUAUGAAAAUCCGGUCAAAAUUUCGAAUAAAUCUAGGGAGUAGCAAGA
rnacentral:lncRNA from 1 species